GAUGUUUGCUGGCUGAAAUUUUUGCAUGAUCUGGUGCUCUAUGCUUUUUCGUGCUGCUGUGCCUUGGCAGCUGUGUUGCAGUGCGUGUUAGUGCCAUUGCAUGGUCUGCCCCGACACAGGCAGCUCCUGCUGCUGCAAGACCAGUGCCUGGAAAAAAGGGUGUGGAGCCAGGAGGGAACACAUUCCACAGGAAUAUCUUCUCACAAGCAGCUGUGGGUUUUUUGACAACUGCCCUUGCAACUGUAAAGAAAUGUAAUUUCAUCUGUAAUAAAGCACCUGAUGGGCAGUGAUCCCUGGCAAACAGUAUUUCAGCUUAAUGCUAAGCGUUGAAAAAACAUCAUCGAAAAAUAAAGAU